rnacentral:rRNA from 1 species
GGGUUGUGAGGUUAAGCGACUAAGCGUACACGGUGGAUGCCUAGGCAGUCAGAGGCGAUGAAGGGCGUGCUAAUCUGCGAAAAGCGUCGGUAAGGUGAUAUGAACCGUUAUAACCGACGAUACCCGAAUGGGGAAACCCAGUGCAAUUCGUUGCACUAUUGCAUGGUGAAUACAUAGCCAUGCAAGGCGAACCGGGGGAACUGAAACAUCUAAGUACCCCGAGGAAAAGAAAUCAACCGAGAUUCCCCCAGUAGCGGCGAGCGAACGGGGAGGAGCCCAGAACCUGAAUCAGCAUAUGUGUUAGUGGAAGCGUCUGGAAAGUCGCACGGUACAGGGUGAUAGUCCCGUACACAAAAAUGCAUAUGUUGUGAGUUCGAUGAGUAGGGCGGGACACGUGACAUCCUGUCUGAAUAUGGGGGGACCAUCCUCCAAGGCUAAAUACUCCUGACUGACCGAUAGUGAACCAGUACCGUGAGGGAAAGGCGAAAAGAACCCCGGCGAGGGGAGUGAAAUAGAACCUGAAACCGUGUACGUACAAGCAGUGGGAGCACCUUCGUGGUGUGACUGCGUACCUUUUGUAUAAUGGGUCAGCGACUUAUAUUUUGUAGCAAGGUUAACCGAAUAGGGGAGCCGUAGGGAAACCGAGUCUUAACUGGGCGAAUAGUUGCAAGGUAUAGACCCGAAACCCGGUGAUCUAGCCAUGGGCAGGUUGAAGGUUGGGUAACACUAACUGGAGGACCGAACCGACUAAUGUUGAAAAAUUAGCGGAUGACUUGUGGCUGGGGGUGAAAGGCCAAUCAAACCGGGAGAUAGCUGGUUCUCCCCGAAAGCUAUUUAGGUAGCGCCUCGUGAACUCAUCUUCGGGGGUAGAGCACUGUUUCGGCUAGGGGGUCAUCCCGACUUACCAAACCGAUGCAAACUCCGAAUACCGAAGAAUGUUAUCACGGGAGACACACGGCGGGUGCUAACGUCCGUCGUGAAGAGGGAAACAACCCAGACCGCCAGCUAAGGUCCCAAAGUCAUGGUUAAGUGGGAAACGAUGUGGGAAGGCAUAGACAGCCAGGAUGUUGGCUUAGAAGCAGCCAUCAUUUAAAGAAAGCGUAAUAGCUCACUGGUCGAGUCGGCCUGCGCGGAAGAUGUAACGGGGCUAAACCAUGCACCGAAGCUGCGGCAGCGACACUUAGGUGUUGUUGGGUAGGGGAGCGUUCUGUAAGCCGUUGAAGGUGACCUGUGAGGGUUGCUGGAGGUAUCAGAAGUGCGAAUGCUGACAUAAGUAACGAUAAUGCGGGUGAAAAACCCGCACGCCGGAAGACCAAGGGUUCCUGUCCAACGUUAAUCGGGGCAGGGUGAGUCGACCCCUAAGGCGAGGCUGAAAAGCGUAGUCGAUGGGAAACAGGUUAAUAUUCCUGUACUUGGUGUUACUGCGAAGGGGGGACGGAGAAGGCUAGGCUAGCCGGGCGACGGUUGUCCCGGUUUAAGCAUGUAGGCGGAGUGACUUGGUAAAUCCGGUUGCUUAUCAACGCUGAGGUGUGAUGACGAGCCACUACGGUGGUGAAGUAGUUGAUGCCAAGCUUCCAGGAAAAGCCUCUAAGCAUCAGGUAACAUUAAAUCGUACCCCAAACCGACACAGGUGGUCAGGUAGAGAAUACUCAGGCGCUUGAGAGAACUCGGGUGAAGGAACUAGGCAAAAUGGUGCCGUAACUUCGGGAGAAGGCACGCUGGCAUUAGGUAAAGAGACUUGCUCUCGGCGCCGAAGCCAGUCGCAGAUACCAGCUGGCUGCAACUGUUUAAUAAAAACACAGCACUGUGCAAACACGAAAGUGGACGUAUACGGUGUGACGCCUGCCCGGUGCUGGAAGGUUAAUUGAUGGGGUCAGCCGCAAGGCGAAGCUCUUGAUCGAAGCCCCAGUAAACGGCGGCCGUAACUAUAACGGUCCUAAGGUAGCGAAAUUCCUUGUCGGGUAAGUUCCGACCUGCACGAAUGGCGUAAUGAUGGCCAGGCUGUCUCCACCCGAGACUCAGUGAAAUUGAACUCGCUGUGAAGAUGCAGUGUACCCGCGGCAAGACGGAAAGACCCCGUGAACCUUUACUAUAGCUUGACACUGAACAUUGAGCCUUGAUGUGUAGGAUAGGUGGGAGGCAUUGAAGUGUGGACGCCAGUCUGCAUGGAGCCAACCUUGAAAUACCACCCUUUAAUGUUUGAUGUUCUAACUCGGCCCCGUGAUCCGGGGUGAGGACAGUGUCUGGUGGGUAGUUUGACUGGGGCGGUCUCCUCCCAAAGAGUAACGGAGGAGCACGAAGGUUAGCUAAUCACGGUCGGACAUCGUGAGGUUAGUGCAAAGGCAUAAGCUAGCUUGACUGCGAGAGUGACGGCUCGAGCAGGUACGAAAGUAGGUCUUAGUGAUCCGGUGGUUCUGAAUGGAAGGGCCAUCGCUCAACGGAUAAAAGGUACUCCGGGGAUAACAGGCUGAUACCGCCCAAGAGUUCAUAUCGACGGCGGUGUUUGGCACCUCGAUGUCGGCUCAUCACAUCCUGGGGCUGAAGUAGGUCCCAAGGGUAUGGCUGUUCGCCAUUUAAAGUGGUACGCGAGCUGGGUUUAGAACGUCGUGAGACAGUUCGGUCCCUAUCUGCCGUGGGCGUUGGAAGAUUGAGAGGGGCUGCUCCUAGUACGAGAGGACCGGAGUGGACGAAUCACUGGUGUUCGGGUUGUCAUGCCAAUGGCAUUGCCCGGUAGCUAAAUUCGGAAGAGAUAACCGCUGAAAGCAUCUAAGCGGGAAACUUGCCUCGAGAUGAGUCUUCCCUGGGGCUUUAAGCCCCCUGAAGGAACGUUAAAGACUAUGACGUUGAUAGGCUGGGUGUGUAAGUGCAGCGAUGCAUUGAGCUAACCAGUACUAAUGAUCCGUGAGGCUUAACCUUACAACACCGAAGGUGUUU